GAAACUUUUAUUACCAGAGUAGCCGAGUUGCACGGUUUCAUCACAGGAAUCUUCUCAACCAAAAUAUGAGAACAUAACAGUUUUUGAAAAAUACAACAGUGUCAAUGUUAAGAAUGUAGCUAGUUUGUCCAUAUUGUUAAUGUUAAGCAAGCUAGCUAACUUUAUUGUUAACAAACUUAGCACGCCUAUCUAGGUAGCAAAGAAAAUGUAUCUUGUCGGUUACGGAAUUCAAACCAGCGACCUUUAGGUUACUGGCCCAACACUCUAACCUCAAGGCUACCUGCUGCCCCAUACAGUUUAUAUCAACUCUAAGUCAGUAAAAUAACAUCUGCUGAAAGUCCAUAUUAAUGUACUGUUAUAUUACUGAUGACCUGUUAUUGAUUUGUCUCACCACCAGGUCGUUGGAGAGGAAGCUGCAGAGGCCUCUAUUGGCCAAGUCCCGGACACUACCCAGCAUCCCCCAGUCCCCUACCGUGGCCAGGGUCCACCACUCAGACCUGAUUGGUGGGAGUCCUCCUCGCAGGACGUCUUUGGCCAGCAACAACAAUCAGCCCAAGGCCUGCACUUUGCCCCCUGAAGGGGAGCUGUGGCGUCUGGAGGACGACGUGGAGGACGAGGAGGAGGCGGGGCGUCUGUGUGCCGCCGCCCGCCCCCGUUCACAAUCGCCCUUCUCCCACUUCCGCACGCGCACCGCAUACCUGCGCAAGAGCGUCUCUGUGGACGACCCCCUGGGCAUGGUAGACUACUGCUCGUCGGCGCCCCUCGAGGGUAAAGGCAGUCGCGGCGGCAAGGGCAAGCUCAAGAGGAAGUUUGUAAGUACCCAACUUCCUGUCUUUCCUUUCAAAAGAGCAUAGAGAGAUUAUCCCAGCCAACACACAGCCACCACAAAAUGUUGGCUCAAAGUUAUGGGUAUCAAUGUGAUAUCAGUCUUUUUUAGUUCAAAUGACAACCUAGAGAAUUCGGUCCCUUUUCAAAUGACUGUAUUUGUGAUUGUGUCAUCCUUCACUUAACUGUGCACAUGUAAGUGUUUGCCAACGCACACACACACACUGGUUGACC
rnacentral:lncRNA from 1 species